rnacentral:lncRNA from 1 species
UGCAGUGUUCGCCCGGGGCUAGAAUUGUCUAGCGCAAAGCCAGCCCGCGUGGGCGUCGGGACUGCGGAGCGUGGUGGAAUGUUAUGAUCCUAAUUGCAAGGUAUGGGACUGGGACAAGGUAUGGGACUUGUGUCCCACAUCGAUGGUAUGGGACUUUGAUGUGGGAUAUUUAUAAACUUUGGGCUCUCCAACUUUAAUAGCUAGCUUUUAAGGUG